GUGCCGUAGCUAACGCAUUUAAGUUCCCGCCUGGGGAGUACGGCCGCAAGGCUAAAACUCAAAGGAAUUUGACGGGGGCCCGCACAAGCGGCGGAGCAUGCGGAUUAAUUCGAUGCAACGCGAAGAACCUUACCAAGGCUUGACAUACACCGGAAACGGCUAGAGAUAGUCGCCUCUUCGGACUGGUGUACAGGUGGUGCAUGGUUG
rnacentral:rRNA from 1 species